ACAUCAGUGGAUCAGUGGUAGAAUUCUCACCUUCCAUGUGGGGGACCCAGGUUUGAUUCCUGGCUAAUGUA
rnacentral:tRNA from 1 species